AAAAAGUAGACGUAGGUGGCGCAGUGUUCCCUUGUAUAGCCGCAGAGAGUCCAAAGAGUAACGUGCAUUUUUUCUUCUUUUUUCACCUUUCCUCAGUUUUGUUGUUGUUGUAAAUAUUUCCUUAAUUAUCAGAUCACUCACAACUAAUAUUAAUAUGAUCACUUGUUACAAUCAAUAAAAAGAGCGCCUCUUUUUCACUGCCCCG
rnacentral:lncRNA from 1 species